rnacentral:tRNA from 1 species
GCCUAGUUAGCUUGGUUGGUACGUUCGUGAAGCGUCUGCCUUGCAAGCGCUAGGCCGCGGGUUCGAUUCCCGCCCGGGGCG